rnacentral:rRNA from 1 species
UACGAAGGGGGCAAGCGUUGUUCGGAAUUACUGGGCGUAAAGGGCGCGUAGGCGGUGCACUAAGUCAGGCGUGAAAGCCCUGGGCUCAACCCGGGAAUUGCGCUUGAGACUGGUGUGCUUGAGUACGGGAGAGGAUAGUGGAAUUCCCAGUGUAGAGGUGAAAUUCGUAGAUAUUGGGAAGAACACCGGUGGCGAAGGCGGCUAUCUGGACCGUAACUGACGCUGAGGCGCGAAAGCGUGGGGAGCAAACAGG